CCUCCUUUUCUUGGCGGGGAGCUGGCGUGCGGUCUCGCUCCCCGUUAUGUGCGGAGGCAGAGGGAAAGGGUUGCGGCCCUCCCGGCGUCAUGUCUUCGGUGCCGGCGGCUUCCCGUCCGCCGGUUCUAUCCUCAAACGCCGGGACACGA
ensembl:snoRNA